UACGAAGGGGGCUAGCGUUGCUCGGAAUCACUGGGCGUAAAGGGUGCGUAGGCGGGUCUUUUAAGUCAGGGGUGAAAUCCUGGAGCUCAACUCCAGAACUGCCUUUGAUACUGAAGAUCUUGAGUUCGGGAGAGGUGAGUGGAACUGCGAGUGUAGAGGUGAAAUUCGUAGAUAUUCGCAAGAACACCAGUGGCGAAGGCGGCUCACUGGCCCGAUACUGACGCUGAGGUGCGAAAGCGGUGGGGAGCAAACAGGG
rnacentral:rRNA from 1 species